AUCAUUUAUGGCUAUAUAUAAGGUUUGCAGACGUCGACACCUCUACAACCCAGAAACUUGUUAUACAACACUACACAAUGAAGGGCUUGGUAAUAGUAUGUAUUCUAUUCAUUGUUGCCGCAUUGGAAGCAAAGGAUACCUGUCUCGUCGACGCUGACUGCACAUGCGCAGAUUGGUUAAUUCCCCACUGUCACCUUGGAAAAUGUCAUUGUCACCAUAGCACCCACGAGUGCAACCAUUCCUUUGACUGCACGUGUGAAGCCGACCACCAUGCCACGUGUGACCAUCAUCUCUGUCAUUGUCAUCCAAACUCACCCUGAAGCGCAUGAUCUUCCGCACGCCACUGGUAUUAGAAGCACCUGUUUUCUUUUCUAAUGUUUUGAUAAUUGUAGAGCGACAUAUGUGUAAUAUAUAAUAAAUUUAUAUCACAAUCAAA